rnacentral:rRNA from 1 species
UCUGGGAAACUGCCUGAUGGAGGGGGAUAACUGCUGGAAACGGUAGCUGAUACCGCAUAAUGUCGCAAGACCAAAGUGGGGGACCUUCGGGCCUCAUGCCAUCAGAUGUGCCCAGAUGGGAUUAGCUAGUAGGUGGGGUAACGGCUCACCUAGGCGACGAUCCCUAGCUGGUCUGAGAGGAUGACCAGCCACACUGGAACUGAGACACGGUCCAG